AUGAGAAAUAAGUUUAAGUGACUCCAGUUUCCCAGAGAGCUCUGCUUGAGAAGUCACUCCAUUUUUUCCCUUCUCAUCUAUGGUGUUACCCGCCGCAGGGAGGAUGAAGUUUGGAAGGGAGCAGCGGCCUGUCAGUGCUGGCUUCCCUCUGCAGAAAGGCUGGCAGGAGGGGCCUUCACGCUGCUGGACUGCCCCAGCCUGCCAGACCAGGCUGAGAACUGUGGGUGUCCACAAGGUGGCGAGCUUCUGCCACCAACGGCCCUGCCGGGAGGAGGGAAGGGAAGGCAGAGAGGGCCGGUGGUGCUCCCCGGACUACCUGUACUACGUGGCUGUGAUGUAGCCUUUCCAGGACCUGCCCCCCAGCCACCCACCCCACGCCUCGCUCCCCCACCGACUCCGGGACUGAACCUCCCGUUUAGUCACUCUUUGCAUUGGUUGCCUGGGGCUGCCUUAGCAAAGGAUCCAUCACCAAACCAGCGGCUGCAAACCGCAGACAUAUGUACUCUCUCAGAGUUCUGGAGACCAGGAGCUCAAAUUCAAGGUGUCAGCGGGGAGCGUGUCCUUUCUGUCUCUUCCAGCUUUGGGGACCUUGUGGCCGCACCAGGCCAGUCUCCGCCUUUUGGGCGUCUGUGUCUUCUCCCCUCUGCCUCUUACAAGUAAACUUGUCCUUUAGUGUGGGUCCACCCAGGUGACGCGGGAUCAUGUCAUCUCAGUCGUACCUGCAGGACCCUCUUUUUAAGUAAGGUCACAUUCACAUAUUCCAGAGGCUGGGACAUGGACAUGCCUUUUCAGCGGACCGUCAUUCAGCUCACCGCACUUUAGGAACCUAGGAGCUGUCCUUGACAAUGAACCUAGGAAUUGACACCUCCCUUCCCCUCCCACCUUGUGAUGUCCCCCACUGAUUCCGGUAGAUUCUUCUGCCCGGUGUCUCUUCACCAUCACUGCCAAUACCCAGUCCACGCUGUCAGCACUUCCGCCCUCAUCUCCUGACUGGAAUCCACACGCCCACCCUGCUGUGGACUGAACUGUGCUCCCCGCGCCCCCAUUCGUGUAUUGAAGCUCUAACCCCCACCGUGACUGCACUGGGCAAAGGCCCUUUAAGGAGAUGCUGCUGCCGCCGCCGCUGCUGUUUAAUCACUCAGUUGUGUCCAACUCUCUGCGACCCCAUGGACUGUAGCCCGCCAGGCUCCUCUGUCCGUG